rnacentral:rRNA from 1 species
AUGGAUCGCCAAGCCUACCACACCGACCCAUCUCGUCGCCCCCGCUCCAGCCACAAGGUCAUCAUCGCCACGCCGGCCAUUGAGCACCAGGAGUUCCUCCUCCGUAAGCAUGCGCUGGUGCUCACGGCGGCAGUGUCCCAGCAUGCCGCCAACCCCAUGGCGGUGGGCUGGGCCAUCGAAGAGCAGCUGCACACGCCUCCCCACCUGCUGCGCGUCACCAGCCACGACCCAGGGGACUUCUUCGUCCACUUCGAGCUUCCAGCGCACAAGGAGAACGCAGUCCGCCGCGGGCAUGUCAAGGUGGACGGCGUCGUGUUCGCAAUCAAGGGCUGGCACGAGGACCACCAUGACAUGCCAGACGGCUGCAAGCUCCAUGUCCGCGUGGUCAUCGAGAGGAUUCCCAUGCAGCUCUGGUCGUUGGAGGGCGCCGUCGAAGUGCUGGGCGACCUCUGCAUCAUGGACCGCCUCGACAGCCGCACCCACGAGCGCGGGCACACCAGGUCGUUUGCCUGCUGGGUGUGGGUCUCCGACAUCGCGCACAUCCCCACCAAGCGUAUCAUCUGGCGCGCGGCGCGGGGCGCGGACCGGGUGGAGGCCAUGCUUGGUUUCUCGCCACCAAGUCGCGCCGCCCCCUGGCGUCAAGUGCUGUGA